CCGCCGCCGCCGCCGCCGCCGCCGCCGCCGCCGCCGCCGCCGCCGCCGGUACCAAUUUCAAUUUUCAAGGUGGCCAAGGCGACUAAUGGGUUGAAGACUCAGAUUCUCGGAGUCACGGGUCUUAACGAUUGUUGAACCUUUCGCUUUGAAGGCUCCAGCUUUUUGACAUUGUCUAUCAACCACUUGACAUAAAGAGAGGCUGCUAUGUCUCACUUGGCAGAAGUGGACAAAGUGGGGGCAGAAAAAGAGGUGUUGGUGGAAAAAAGAAAGAGGUUCAAUUUUAUGAGUCUUUUACUUGUAAGGAAUUUGAACCUGAGCCUUAUAUAGGCAAACUUAUAAAAAUAUGGGAACAUCUAGAUUAGGCAGAGAAAAUAAAGGUUCUGUGGCUCUUCCACCCUCAAGAGAUUUUGAAAUGGCUUGGAGACGGCGAGACAGUUGAGAAAGAGGUAUUUUUGGCAUCUGGUGAAGGUCUUGGCCUAGCAAAUGUUAAUCCCCUGGUAAUUGAACUUAGAGAAAUUAGACAACUUAUAUUUGUGGCAUCUACUUUUUCUUUCACAAGGAAAAAGUAGACCAUCCGGUGUUUCUUUGUGAGAUUAACUUUGUUCUUGUAAAGGGGUCACCUGUUAAAAUGUGCAGGAGCAAAAGAGUUAAUUUCCACAUGUCAUGUGAUCGUAUUCAUAGUUGAAAACUUAUGGUAGAUGAUUUGGUAAAUACAGUAAGAUGCAUUCUUCAUGUAGAAUGAUACAUAUUAAUUGGCAGUUUAUAUCUUCAGUUUACAUAUGUGA